rnacentral:rRNA from 1 species
AACGAACGCUGGCGGCGUGCCUAACACAUGCAAGUCGAGGGGCAGCACGAGGUAGCAAUACUUUGGUGGCGACCGGCGCACGGGUGAGUAACGCGUAUGCAACCUACCCUGUACAGGGGGACAACCCGGAGAAAUUCGGACUAAUACCCCAUAAAGAUAUUUAGAGGCAUCUUUGAAUAUUUAAAGUUCCGGCGGUACGGGAUGGGCAUGCGUAACAUUAGCUAGUUGGUAAGGUAACGGCUUACCAAGGCAACGAUGUUUAGGGGUCCUGGGAGGGUGAUCCCCCACACUGGUACUGAGACACGGACCAGACUCCUACGGGAGGCAGCAGUGAGGAAUAUUGGUCAAUGGGCGCAAGCCUGAACCAGCCAUCCCGCGUGAAGGAAGAAUGCGCUAUGCGUUGUAAACUUCUUUUCCAGGGGAAUAAAAUUUUGUACGUGUACGGAAUUGAAGGUACCCUGGGAAUAAGCAUCGGCUAACUCCGUGCCAGCAGCCGCGGUAACAC